AUGAACGCUAGCGGGAGGCCUAACACAUGCAAGUCGAACGGGAUUGGGAGCUUGCUCCCAUGAGAGUGGCGCACGGGUGAGUAACGCGUAUGCAACCUGCCUUUAACUGAGGGAUAGCCCAUAGAAAUGUGGAUUAAUACCUCAUAGUUCUAUUAGGUCGCAUGAUUUGAUAGAUAAAGCUCCGGCGGUUAAAGAUGGGCAUGCGUGACAUUAGCUAGUUGGUGAGGUAACGGCCCACCAAGGCUACGAUGUCUAGGGGUUCUGAGAGGAUGAUCCCCCACACUGGUACUGAGACACGGACCAGACUCCUACGGGAGGCAGCAGUGAGGAAUAUUGGUCAAUGGGCGCAAGCCUGAACCAGCCAUCCCGCGUGCAGGAUGAAGGCCCUAUGGGUCGUAAACUGCUUUUAUACACCAAGAAAAACACCCACGUGUGGGUGCCCGACGGUAGUGUAUGAAUAAGCAUCGGCUAACUCCGU
rnacentral:rRNA from 1 species